GCCGGGCGUGGUGGCGUGCGCCUGUGGUCCCAACUACUUGGGAGGCUGAGGCAGGAGAAUCGCUUGAGUCCAGUAGGCAGAGGUUGCAGUGAGCCAAGCUCAUGCCACUGCACUCCAGCCUGGGCAACAGAGUGAGACUCUGUCUCAA
ensembl:misc_RNA Metazoa_SRP Metazoan signal recognition particle RNA